UACGUAGGGGGCGAGCGUUAUCCGGAUUUACUGGGCGUAAAGAGCGUUAAGGCGGCUGGCAAAGUUGGGGGUGAAAUUUCGGAGCUCAACUCCGAAACUGCCUCCAAUACUGGUCGGCUAGAGUGCGAGAGAGGAAGGUGGAAUUCCCGGUGUAGUAGUGAAAUGCGUAGAUAUCGGGAGGAACACCAGUGGCGAAGGCGGCCUUCUGGCUCGUAACUGACGCUGUAGCGCGAAAGCGUGGGGAGCGAACGGG
rnacentral:rRNA from 1 species